rnacentral:rRNA from 1 species
GAGUUUGAUCGUGGCUCAGGAUGAACGCUAGCUACAGGCUUAACACAUGCAAGUCGAGGGGAAACGAUAGGGAAAGCUUGCUUUUCCUAGGCGUCGACCGGCGCACGGGUGAGUAACGCGUAUCCAACCUGCCCAUGUCUGGGGAAUAACCCGUCGAAAGGCGGACUAACUCCCCAUGGUCUCCGAUGAGGACAUCUGAAUUGGAGUAAAGCUUUGCGGACAUGGAUGGGGAUGCGUCUGAUUAGGUAGUAGGCGGGGUAACGGCCCACCUAGCCUACGAUCAGUAGGGGUUCUGAGAGGAAGGUCCCCCCACAUUGGAACUGAGACACGGUCCAAACUCCUACGGGAGCAGCAGUGAGGAAUAUUGGUCAAUGGACGAGAGUCUGAACCAGCCAAGUAGCGUGCAGGAUGACGGCCCUAUG